GACGAACGCUGGCGGCGUGCCUAAUACAUGCAAGUCGAGCGGACGAAUCGAAAGCUUGCUUUUGAUUCGUUAGCGGCGGACGGGUGAGUAACACGUGGGCAACCUGCCCUGUAGACGGGGAUAACACCGAGAAAUCGGUGCUAAUACCGGAUAACACGAAAUGUCGCAUGACGUUUCGUUGAAAGACGGCGCACGCUGUCGCUACAGGAUGGGCCCGCGGCGCAUUAGCUAUUUGGUGAGGUAACGGCUCACCAAGGCGACGAUGCGUAGCCGACCUGAGAGGGUGAUCGGCCACACUGGGACUGAGACACGGCCCAGACUCCUACGGGAGGCAGCAGUAGGGAAUCUUCCGCAAUGGACGAAAGUCUGACGGAGCAACGCCGCGUGAGCGAAGAAGGCCUUCGGGUCGUAAAGCUCUGUUGUUAGGGAAGAACAAGUAACGCAGUAACUGGCGUUACCGUGACGGUACCUAACGAGAAAGCCACGGCUAACUACGUG
rnacentral:rRNA from 1 species